GACGAACGCUGGCGGCGUGCUUAACACAUGCAAGUCGAACGGAAAGGCCCUGCUUUUGUGCGGUGCUCGAGUGGCGAACGGGUGAGUAACACGUGAGUAACCUGCCCUUGACUUUGGGAUAACUUCAGGACACUGGGGCUCAUACCGGAUAGGAGCUCCUGCUGCUUGGUGGGGGUUGGUUAGUUUCGGCGGUUGGGGAUGGACUCGCGUCUUAUCAGAUUGUUGGUUGGGUAGUGGAUUACCAAGGCUUUGACCGGUAGCAGGCCUGGGAGGAGAACCGGCCAAACUGGGACUGAGAUGAGGCACGGACUAGUACGGGACGCAGCAGUGGAGAAGAGUGUACAAGGGGAGGAAGCAUGAUGCAGCAAAGCAACGUGGGGGAUGAGGGGCUUCGGGUUGUAAACCGAUGUCGCCUGUGACGAAGCGAGAGUGACGGUAAUGGGUAAAGAAGCACCGGCUAACUACGUG
rnacentral:rRNA from 1 species